UGGGGAAUAUUGCACAAUGGACGGAAGUUUGAUGCAGCGACGCCGCGUGGAGGGUGUAGGCCUUCGGGUUGUGAACUCCUUUUUCUCGCGAAAAAGGCACAGUUUUGGCUGUGUUGAUGGUAGUGGGGGAAGAAGCGCCGGCUAACUACGUGCCAGCAGCCGCGGUAAUACGUAGGGCGCGAGCGUUGUCCGGAUUUAUUGGGCGUAAAGAGCUCGUAGGUGGUUCGUCGCGUCUGUCGUGAAAGCCAGCAGCUUAACUGUUGGUCUGCGGUGGGUACGGGCAGGCUUGAGUGCGGUAGGGGUGACUGGAAUUCCUGGUGUAGCGGUGGAAUGCGCAGAUAUCAGGAGGAACACCGAUGGCGAAGGCAGGUCACUGGGCCGUUACUGACACUGAGGAGCGAAAGCGUGGGGAGCGAACAGG
rnacentral:rRNA from 1 species